GACGAACGCUGGCGGCGUGCUUAAGACAUGCAAGUCGCACGGUCAGCAAUGGCAGUGGCGGACGGGUGAGUAACGCGUAGGUAUCUAUCCUCGGGUGGGGGGACAACCACGGGGAAAACUGUGGCUAAUACCGCAUGAUGACUGAGGUCUAAAGGCGCAAGUCGCCUGAGGAGGAGCCUGCGUCCGAUUAGCUAGUUGGUGGGGUAAAAGCCCUACCCAAGGCUCCGAUCGGUAGCUGGUCUGAGAGGAUGAUCAGCCACACUGGGACUGAGACACGGCCCAGACUCCUACGGGAGGCAGCAGUGGGGAAUAUUGGACAAUGGGCGCAAGCCUGAUCCAGCAAUGCCGCGUGGGCGAAGAAGGUCUUCGGAUUGUAAAGCCCUUUCGACGGGGACGAUGAUGACGGUACCCGUAGAAGAAGCCCCGGCUAACUUCGUG
rnacentral:rRNA from 1 species